GCCCCCGCCAGGCCCGGGUCGGGCAGAGGCUUGGCCAGCGCGCCGGGCGGCAGUGCGAGCGCGGGGAAGAAGGAGGGCUGCGCUGCCGCCAGGAAGGCGGACAUGGGGAAGUCGGCCGGCCGCGGCGCGUGGAACGGAUGGGACACCUGUCUUGGACUGAGGGAGCCCCGGGAGCUCAGGACUGCAACACAGUCAUUUGAAACAGCAAGAUGCGGGAAGCCACCCCGGGCCUGUUGCUGGGCUCUCUCAGAGGCAAGACAAGGGCGAAAGGCAGCGUAGGAGAAAACUUCCUGGCGGGCUCAAACCAUCCCUGCCUGCUUCAUGCCUGCUCCCCCCCCCCCCCCACCUCCCGAGGUGGCAGGCCCCCCGAUACCUGCCAUUCUGGGAAGCCUCCAGCGAGGCAGGAGCAGGGGUGCGGCCUAAGCGCUCAGUGCCGAAGGGCUGCUGAAAACCUCCGAGACGCCAACGUGGUCCCUUCCCCUGGAGAAGGUGCCCUUCUGGGAGCCACUUACAGAAUACUAUGUUCAUGACAAUUUUUUGUAUGAAUUAUUCCACCGAGGACGGGUCCGUUCCACCGGGAACUCCCCUUUCCACAGGGUUUCCCAUGCCCGGAAGCUUCCCCAGGGGCAGCAAUCAGAGAGCUAACUGAAGAAACAAGCAGUUAAAACACACACACACCCUCUCCCGCCAAAGAAGCUCCACACCAGCAGGUGCCAGUUGUGACCAAGUCCGGCGAGGAGCGUGACGCCACGUUACCUGUUCC